GGGCUGGUAGCUUAGAUUGGCCCAAAGCAUCUGGCUUUUAACCAGAGGAUCGAGGGUUCAAAUCCCUCCCGGCCCG
rnacentral:tRNA from 5 species